GGAGCAGUGAGUGAGCUCUGUCAGUCACUCCAUCCUUCCUAAAGCAGACACCUCUACCCUUGUGGAGCCUGACGCAACCAGUAAAAUCUAAACCCAGGGUCCCCUGCGGAGAAACUUUUGGCUGAACCUUCAACUCACAGGACUGACGUUAUUGAACCUACAGUGUCUUGUACCAGGUACUGAAUAAGUUUUCUACAACACAGAAAAAAAGACUUGAAGGCUUUUCCACCAAGGCUGAUUUUCAAAAAUUGGAAAGCUUCCUUUAAAUGCGAUGACACAAAAUCCCUGACUCAUCUUUAUGGAGUGCCUUGUAAUCUGUUGCUCCAAAAUACUAUUCAGCAAUAAACAUGAUUAUUGAUGUCAGAUCUCCAAGCAAGCUGCUGUAAGACAGUUUGAGUAUCCUAUGAAUUACAUGAUCCUGUCAUUUUUCUCUGAAACACAACGCAGAAUAAAGGUGCAGAAUGAAAGGCC